UACGUAGGGGGCUAGCGUUGUCCGGAAUCAUUGGGCGUAAAGCGCGCGUAGGCGGCCAGAUAAGUCCGGUGUGAAAGUCACAGGCUCAACCUGUGCAAUGCCGCUGGGAAACUGUCCUGGCUCGAGUCCGGGAGGGGCGAGUGGAAUUCCUGGUGUAGCGGUGAAAUGCGCAGAUAGUCAGGAGGAACAUCAAUGGCGAAGGCAGCUCGCUGGAACGGUACUGACGCUGAGGCGCGGAAAGCCAGGGGAGGCGAACGGG
rnacentral:rRNA from 1 species